rnacentral:tRNA from 1 species
GGCCAGAUAGCUCAGUGGUUAGAGCAUCUUGGGAUUUCACCAGUGGUCCUGGGUUCAAUCCCCCCAGUCUGGUCA